rnacentral:snoRNA from 1 species
AAGACUACACUUUCAGGGAUCAUUUCUAUAGUUUGUUACUAACAGAGUUUCUCUGACUGUAGAGCACCCAAGACCACNAGGAUGAGAGGCAGCGUUCCCUCCUGAGUGUGAAGCUCUCGGGGCUUUUCUCCUGCAGCUGCCUCUUGCCAUUGAUGGGUGGGUUUCUGUGU